UACGGGGGGGGCAAGCGUUGUUCGGAAUUACUGGGCGUAAAGGGCUCGUAGGCGGCCAACUAAGUCAGACGUGAAAUCCCUCGGCUUAACCGGGGAACUGCGUCUGAUACUGGAUGGCUUGAGUUUGGGAGAGGGAUGCGGAAUUCCAGGUGUAGCGGUGAAAUGCGUAGAUAUCUGGAGGAACACCGGUGGCGAAGGCGGCUCACUGGUCCGGUACUGACGCUGAGGUGCGAAAGCGUGGGGAGCAAACAGG
rnacentral:rRNA from 1 species